rnacentral:rRNA from 1 species
CCCCGGGUAACACAUGCAGUCGAGCGGAAGGCCCCUUCGGGGGUACUCGAGCGGCGAACGGGUGAGUAACACGUGAGCAACCUGCCCCUGACUCUGGGAUAAGCCCGGGAAACUGGGUCUAAUACCGGAUAUGACGCAUUCUCGCAUGGGAUGUGUGUGGAAAGUUUUUCGGUUGGGGAUGGGCUCGCGGCCUAUCAGCUUGUUGGUGGGGUGAUGGCCUACCAAGGCGACGACGGGUAACCGGCCUGAGAGGGCGACCGGUCACACUGGGACUGAGACACGGCCCAGACUCCUACGGGAGGCAGCAGUGGGGAAUAUUGCGCAAUGGGCGGAAGCCUGACGCAGCGACGCCGCGUGGGGGAUGACGGCCUUCGGGUUGUAAACCUCUUUCAGCAGGGACGAAGCUAACGUGACGGUACCUGCAGAAGAAGCGCCGGCUAACUACGUGCCAGCAGCCGCGGUAAUACGUAGGGCGCAAGCGUUGUCCGGAAUUAUUGGGCGUAAAGAGCUCGUAGGCGGUUUGUCGCGUCUGUCGUGAAAGCCCACGGCUUAACUGUGGGUCUGCGGUGGAUACGGUCAGACUAGAGGCAGGUAGGGGAGAAUGGAAUUCCCGGUGUAGCGGUGAAAUGCGCAGAUAUCGGGAGCAACACCGGUGGCGAAGGUG